UCAAUACUUUGCUUAGCUGCUUCCCAUCUUUCCCAUUUUCAAUUUUAUCCUUUUUACAGUAAGCCAGAUCAUCGACAAUGAGAAUUACCAGUCCAAACUCAAAACCCAGAGCAAAAAUCAUCAAUUAUGUGGGAAAAUGAAGUUUGAUUAGCAUCCAAAACUUAAAACCCAGAUCAGAAAUUGUUAAUUAUGAAAGAAAUUCGAGUGUAAUUAUAAAGAAAAGAAGAAGAAGAAGAGAGUAGAAAAAAG
rnacentral:lncRNA from 1 species